rnacentral:rRNA from 1 species
GAUGAACGCUGGCGGCGUGCCUAAUACAUGCAAGUCGAGCGAACAGACGAGGAGCUUGCUCCUCUGACGUUAGCGGCGGACGGGUGAGUAACACGUGGAUAACCUACCUAUAAGACUGGGAUAACUUCGGGAAACCGGAGCUAAUACCGGAUAAUAUAUUGAACCGCAUGGUUCAAUAGUGAAAGACGGUUUUGCUGUCACUUAUAGAUGGAUCCGCGCCGCAUUAGCUAGUUGGUAAGGUAACGGCUUACCAAGGCAACGAUGCGUAGCCGACCUGAGAGGGUGAUCGGCCACACUGGAACUGAGACACGAUCCAGACUCCUACGGGAGGCAGCAGUAGGGAAUCUUCCGCAAUGGGCGAAAGCCUGACGGAGCAACGCCGCGUGAGUGAUGAAGGUCUUCGAAUCGUAAAACUCUGUUAUUAGGGAAGAACAAAUGUGUAAGUAACUAUGCACGUCUUGACGGUACCUAAUCAGAAAGCCACGGCUAACUACGUG